AGAAGGUUUUCGGAUCGUAAAGCUCUGUUGUAAGUCAAGUUAAGUUGUGAGAGUGGAAAGUUCACACAGUGACGGUAGUAACAGAAAGGGACGGCUAACUACGUGCCAGCAGCCGCGGUAAUACGUAGGUCCCGAGCGUUGUCCGGAUUUAUUGGGCGUAAAGGGAGCGCAGGCGGUCAGGAAAGUCUGGAGUAAAAGGCUAUGGCUCAACCAUAGUGUGCUCUGGAAACUGUCUGACUUGAGUGCAGAAGGGGAGAGUGGAAUUCCAUGUGUAGCGGUG
rnacentral:rRNA from 1 species